rnacentral:rRNA from 2 species
ACGGGAGGCAGCAGUAGGGAAUCUUCCGCAAUGGGCGAAAGCCUGACGGAGCAAUGCCGCGUGAGUGAAGAAGGCCUUCGGGUCGUAAAACUCUGUUAUAAGAGAAGAACAAAUUGUAGAGUAACUGCUACAGUCUUGACGGUAUCUUAUCAGAAAGCCACGGCUAACUACGUGCCAGCAGCCGCGGUAAUACGUAGGUGGCAAGCGUUGUCCGGAUUUAUUGGGCGUAAAGGGAGCGCAGGUGGUUUCUUAAGUCUGAUGUGAAAGCCCACGGCUUAACCGUGGAGGGUCAUUGGAAACUGGGAAACUUGAGUACAGAAGAGGAAUGUGGAACUCCAUGUGUAGCGGUGGAAUGCGUAGAUAUAUGGAAGAACACCAGUGGC